CGAUGAAACUUCAAAUGCCCAGCCACAGCCAUGGGACAACUGGACAUCCCUGGACGUUUUCCUGAAUUCAUCAAAAUGACUUCGCUCUGGUGAAUUGUAGAUGAGCAAGCGGAGCAAUCCAAGUUGCACACACCACACUCUGUUGUGAUGAGAAGGGCAGAAUUCCAGGCCUAUACCCUCAAGCCAAGGAGAGGUCAUCAUUGCAUUUUUAGAGGUAUUGAGUAUGUCAGAAGAUAUAAACUCUUUGAAAGGCCUUCGAACUGCAAGCAAUGAAUGGAGAUGGAUCCUGUGAUGGACAAGGUGUCUCUC